GUGCGUAACGCGUAUGCAACCUACCUUUCACAGGGGGAUAGCCCGAAGAAAUUUGGAUUAAUACCCCAUAAUAUUAUUGGAUGGCAUCAUUUGAUAAUUAAAAUUACGAUGGUGAAAGAUGGGCAUGCGUCCUAUUAGCUAGUUGGAGUGGUAACGGCACCCCAAGGCUACGAUAGGUAGGGGUCCUGAGAGGGAGAUCCCCCACACUGGUACUGAGACAGGGACCAGACUCCUACGGGAGGCAGCAGUGAGGAAUAUUGGUCAAUGGUCGGAAGACUGAACCAGCCAUGCCGCGUGCAGGAAGAAUGCCUUAUGGGUUGUAAACUGCU
rnacentral:rRNA from 1 species